ensembl:snoRNA
AUUCCUCAUCCUUACUCCAGGGUUAUCGUUGUUUGUACGUCCCCUGGCAUUAAUUGAGGAUAAAGUAAUUGCUCUCAUUCUGCUUUUGGAAACCUGUUUUCCUUAGGACUGAAUGAAGUGCAGACACU